AUUGAACGCUGGCGGCAGGCCUAACACAUGCAAGUCGAACGAGUGGCGGACGGGUGAGUAAUGUCUGGGAAACUACCUGAUGGAGGGGGAUAACUACUGGAAACUGUAGCUAAUACCGCCUACCAUCGGAUGUGCCCAGGUGGGAUUAGCUAGUGGGUGGGGUAAAGGCUCACCUAGCCGACGAUCCCUAGCUGGUCUGAGAGGAUGACCAGCCACACGGGAACUGAGACACGGCCCAGACUCCUACGGGAGGCAGCAGUGGGGAAUAUUGCGCAAUGGGGGCAAGCCUGAUGCAGCCAUGCCGCGUGUAUGAAGAAGGCCUUCGGGUUGUAAAGCACUUUCAGUGGGGAGGCGUUAACCGCAGAAGAAGCACCGGCUAACUCCGUGCCAGCAGCCGCGGUAAUUC
rnacentral:rRNA from 1 species